AUUGAACGCUGGCGGCAGGCCUAACACAUGCAAGUCGAACGAGUGGCGGACGGGUGAGUAAUGUCUGGGAAACUGCCUGCUGGAGGGGGAUAACUACUGGAAACGGUAGCUAAUACCGCAUACCCUCGGAUGUGCCCAGAUGGUAUUAGCUAGUUGGUGGGGUAACGGCUCACCUAGGCGACGAUCCCUAGCUGGUCUGGGAGGAUGACCAGCCAAACUGGAACUGAGACACGUCCCAGACCCCUACGGGAGGCAGCAUUGGGGAAUAUUGCACAAUGGGAGCAAGCCUGAUGCAGCCAUGCCGCGUGUAUGAAGAAUGCCUUCGGGUUGUAAAGUACUUUCAGCGGGGAGGCGUUACCCGCAGAAGAAGCACCGGCUAACUCCGUGCCAGCAGCCGCGGUAAUAC
rnacentral:rRNA from 1 species